rnacentral:lncRNA from 1 species
AUGAGACUCGGGCAGGGGCACACCUCGCACUUCCUUUCUCCUCUGUUUUACGUUUAUUUUUCCUCCCUAACGCAACCUAGCGCUGGAACCGAGAGGGGCCGACCGAUUGCGGUGACUGCGUUUCUCCCGUGUAGAUGCUACCGCAGUCGCCGACGUCCCUUUUCAAAGGAUGCAAGCUCCCCGCCGGGAGCCGGAGGUGUUCUGCGGCCGUUCUGCCAGAGGCGCGGGCAGGAGCUGCACCUGCUUCCCGCUGUCUUAAUCAAGCCGCAUCCUUGUUUCCAUUUACGGAGCACCAGGGUGGGAAGAAGUGUCCCCUGUGCUCAGAUGAGGACUGGCAGGAUUACUUGAUAUCCAAAGUGUGGCACGGAGUCCCUGACAGUAGAAACUUACAUUCCAAAAACAAAAUGUAGAAUGAUACCUGUGAAAUAAAAUUUUUCAUUUUAGUAACUUAUAUGUACACUUUAGUAGUGUUACAUUUUUUCACAUCGUUGUGUAACUGAUCUGAACUUUUUCAUCUGGCAAACUGACC